rnacentral:rRNA from 1 species
UUAUGCGUUGUUGGGUAGGGGAGCGUUCUGUAAGCCUGCGAAGGUGGCCUGUGAGGGUUGCUGGAGGUAUCAGAAGUGCGAAUGCUGACAUAAGUAACGAUAAAGCGGGUGAAAAGCCCGCUCGCCGGAAGACCAAGGGUUCCUGUCCAACGUUAAUCGGGGCAGGGUGAGUCGACCCCUAAGGCGAGGCCGAAAGGCGUAGUCGAUGGGAAACAGGUUAAUAUUCCUGUACUUGGUGUUACUGCGAAGGGGGGACGGAGAAGGCUAUGUUGGCCGGGCGACGGUUGUCCCGGUUUAAGCGUGUAGGUGUGUGUUCCAGGUAAAUCCGGUUCACUUUAACACUGAGGCGUGACGACGAGGCACUACGGUGCUGAAGCAACAAAUGCCCUGCUUCCAGGAAAAGCCUCUAAGCAUCAGGUAACAUCAAAUCGUACCCCAAACCGACACAGGUGGUCAGGUAGAGAAUACCAAGGCGCUUGAGAGAACUCGGGUGAAGGAACUAGGCAAAAUGGUGCCGUAACUUCGGGAGAAGGCACGCUGACACGUAGGUGAAGUGAUUUACUCAUGGAGCUGAAGUCAGUCGAAGAUACCAGCUGGCUGCAACUGUUUAUUAAAAACACAGCACUGUGCAAACACGAAAGUGGACGUAUACGGUGUGACGCCUGCCCGGUGCCGGAAGGUUAAUUGAUGGGGUCAGCGCAAGCGAAGCUCCUGAUCGAAGCCCCGGUAAACGGCGGCCGUAACUAUAACGGUCCUAAGGUAGCGAAAUUCCUUGUCGGGUAAGUUCCGACCUGCACGAAUGGCGUAAUGAUGGCCAGGCUGUCUCCACCCGAGACUCAGUGAAAUUGAACUCGCUGUGAAGAUGCAGUGUACCCGCGGCAAGACGGAAAGACCCCGUGAACCUUUACUAUAGCUUGACACUGAACAUUGAGCCUUGAUGUGUAGGAUAGGUGGGAGGCUUUGAAGUGUGGACGCCAGUCUGCAUGGAGCCGACCUUGAAAUACCACCCUUUAAUGUUUGAUGUUCUAACGUGGACCCGUUACCCGGGUUGCGGACAGUGUCUGGUGGGUAGUUUGACUGGGGCGGUCUCCUCCUAAAGAGUAACGGAGGAGCACGAAGGUUGGCUAAUCCUGGUCGGACAUCAGGAGGUUAGUGCAAUGGCAUAAGCCAGCUUGACUGCGAGCGUGACGGCGCGAGCAGGUGCGAAAGCAGGUCAUAGUGAUCCGGUGGUUCUGAAUGGAAGGGCCAUCGCUCAACGGAUAAAAGGUACUCCGGGGAUAACAGGCUGAUACCGCCCAAGAGUUCAUAUCGACGGCGGUGUUUGGCACCUCGAUGUCGGCUCAUCACAUCCUGGGGCUGAAGUAGGUCCCAAGGGUAUGGCUGUUCGCCAUUUAAAGUGGUACGCGAGCUGGGUUUAGAACGUCGUGAGACAGUUCGGUCCCUAUCUGCCGUGGGCGCUGGAGAACUGAGGGGGGCUGCUCCUAGUACGAGAGGACCGGAGUGGACGCAUCACUGGUGUUCGGGUUGUCAUGCCAAUGGCACUGCCCGGUAGCUAAAUGCGGAAGAGAUAAGUGCUGAAAGCAUCUAAGCACGAAACUUGCCCCGA